rnacentral:rRNA from 1 species
AUACGGAGGACGCGAGCGUUAUCCGGAUUCAUUGGGUUUAAAGGGUGCGCAGGCGGCCGUGCAAGUCAGCGGUGAAAGCCCGGGGCUCAACCCCGGAAGUGCCGUUGAUACUGCAUGGCUGGAAUGCGGUCGAGGCGGGCGGAACGUGGCGUGUAGCGGUGAAAUGCGUAGAUAUGCCGCAGAACGCCGAUAGCGGGGGCGGCUCGCCAGGCCUGCAGUGACGCUCGGGCACGAAAGCGUGGGGAUCGAACAGGAUUAGAUCCCCUGGUAGUCCACGCCGUAAACGAUGGGCGCUCGUCGUCGGCGGCAGACAGUCGGCGGCCAAGCGAAAGCGAUAAGCGCCCCACCUGGGGAGUACGGUCGCAAGGCUGAAACUCAAAUGAAUUGACGGGG